AGUGAACGCUGGCGGUAGGCCUAACACAUGCAAGUCGAACGGCAGCACAGUAAGAGCUUGCUCUUACGGGUGGCGAGUGGCGGACGGGUGAGGAAUACAUCGGAAUCUACUUUUUCGUGGGGGAUAACGUAGGGAAACUUACGCUAAUACCGCAUAUGACCUACGGGUGAAAGCAGGGGAUCUUCGGACCUUGCGCGAUUGAAUGAGCCGAUGUCGGAUUAGCUAGUUGGCGGGGUAAAGGCCCACCAAGGCGACGAUCCGUAGCUGGUCUGAGAGGAUGAUCAGCCACACUGGAACUGAGACACGGUCCAGACUCCUACGGGAGGCAGCAGUGGGGAAUAUUGGACAAAGGGCGCAAGCCUGAUCCAGCCAUACCGCGUGGGUGAAGAAGGCCUUCGGAUUGUAAAGCCCUUUUGUUGGGAAAGAAAAGCAGCAGGUUAAUCCCCCGCUGUUCUGACGGUACCCAAAGAAUAAGCACCGGCUAACUUCGUG
rnacentral:rRNA from 1 species